GAUGAAGAACGCAGCGAAAUGCGAUAAGUAGUGUGAAUUGCAGAAUUCAGUGAAUCAUCGAAUCUUUGAACGCACAUUGCGCCUCCUGGUAUUCCAGGGAGCAUGCCUGUUCGAGCGUCAUUUAGCAACCAUCGAGCGAGUUUUGCCUCGCUUGGGUCUGGGGGAUGGUUGAACCUCGGUGCACCCACCCCGAAAUACAACGGCGGACAACCCACCCGUGGAACUGCAGCGUAGUAAGUCAUUCUUUCGCGAGUGGCCACGGAGGGACUGUCCGGCCGGUGAAACCCCCCGAAUCCAAUGGUUGACCUCGGAUCAGGUAGGGAUACCCGCUGAACUUAAGCAUAUCAAUAAGCGGAGGA
rnacentral:misc_RNA from 1 species